ACGCUCGACACCUACGGGAGGCAGCAGUAGGGAAUCUUCCACAAUGGACGCAAGUCUGAUGGAGCAACGCCGCGUGAGUGAAGAAGGUUUUCGGAUCGUAAAGCUCUGUUGUUGGUGAAGAAGGAUAGAGGUAGUAACUGGCCUUUAUUUGACGGUAAUCAACCAGAAAGUCACGGCUAACUACGUGCCCGCAGCCGCGGUAAUCUGAGCGGGCUGGCAAGGC
rnacentral:rRNA from 1 species